CCCUAAUUGUGUGCAGACAGAGCAGCGACAAUCCCUCCUUAACGCCAGGCCAAGCUCUUCCGCGGGAAUAAAAAGCAAACACCUUCGAGUCCUCCAGGAAUGGGCCUGGCUUCCUUCUACCUUGUAGCUCUUGGUGCCACAAAUGAAGGUUCUGGAAGCAAAUACUUUAGCCAUAAAUAAUCAGCUCACAGCCUGCACUGACAGCUGAACUCACUGAACCCCAGCAAGAGCAGGGUCUGUUCAAGGUCACAGCAAGGUCGGGACUCCUGGGCCAGACUGCUGCUCUGUCAGGAUGCCUCUCAGAGAGAGGAAGAUUGUGGAAGGAAACCCCAGGACGUUAGUUGUCAUUCAGGAUCCAACCCAGGAUCACACAUUGUAUGGAGCGACCCUCUCUCUUCAGUCUCCUCUGAUCCGGGAGCAUUUCCUCAUUUUUUGUCUUGUAGAGCAGCCAGUUAUUUUGUCUGCUGCUCCUCGCUUUGGAAGGAGCAGGAGGCUACUGCAUCUGUUUCUGGUGACAGGAACUGUGAUCCCUUGGAUAAGUAGGUGGCAGCAUGAGUUACCACAGCCUUUGAAUUAGGUUCUUGAUGGUCACAGCAGGAUAUGACCUGAACGUGCUGGAGAAAGGAAGUAACUGCAGAAUUAACAUCCUCAUGCAAAAUGGGAGAAAAAUUCACAACUUUAAAAAAAGAAAAAUGCUCCACAUCUAACCACACUUGUGAAAUACCUGCAGCAAGAGGACAAAAGUGAAUGAAGCAGCCAUUUGAAGUUACGCUUGAAGAGAAGACAGGCCUCCUCUUGUUGACCUGUGAAUAUACUCUGUGGAAGAAAAGACUUGAAGGCAUACUACUUCCUACAUAACUCUGAGGAGUACUGCGGACUGGGCAACUGGUGAGUUUUUUCUUUUCUUUUCUUUUCUUUUAUCUGUGAUAGCAAAUUGUGGUGUCAGCUCCAAUAAGCAAUGCCUGGCUGAUUGGUUUAGCACGUGGACUUACUGAAGAGGAAAGUCCCACUAUCUGGGUGUGGGUGGCACCAACCAAUAGGCUUGCAGCCUGGACAGAAUAAGAAGGGAAAGAAGAAGAAAGUGUCACUGCUGCUUCUUCAGAGGAGCUCCAGUCUUCGCCAUUGCUUUGGGACAUUCAUCUCUAGCCUUCCAGUGGAGACUCUCCAGCUUCCUGAUACGGACUCCGAAGUGAGCUCCAGGCCUUUGACCUUUGACAGGAUCCUUUAGAUCUCCAGCAUGUGGACAGACCCUUUAUGUUCUCACACCUGACUCUGAGCAUGGCCACUGUAAGCCUACCUUGUAAAUCCUAUAUAUGUUAUAUACUGUAUAUAUAAUACUAUAUAAUACUAAGUCUGUUCCUCUAGUGAACUCUGAUACAUUAUCUUAUUUAUUUGUUUUGUGGUGCUGGGUAUUGAACCCAGAACCUUCAUACUGAGGUACAUCUGCAG
rnacentral:lncRNA from 1 species